CGGGGCAUAGUUUAAUGGCAAAACAAUCGUUUUAUAAACGAUAUUAGCGGCAGAUUACCGCAAGAUUACAGGUUCGACUCCUGUUGCCCCGA
rnacentral:tRNA from 1 species